UACGGGAGGCAGCAGUGGGGAAUAUUGCACAAUGGGCGCAAGCCUGAUGCAGCCAUGCCGCGUGUAUGAAGAAGGCCUUCGGGUUGUAAAGUACUUUCAGUCGUGAGGAAGGUGUUAAGGUUAAUAACCUUAGCAAUUGACGUUAGCGACAGAAGAAGCACCGGCUAACUCCGUGCCAGCAGCCGCGGUAAUACGGAGGGUGCGAGCGUUAAUCGGAAUUACUGGGCGUAAAGGGCACGCAGGCGGUUAAUUAAGUUGGAUGUGAAAUCCCCGGGCUUAACCUGGGAAUGGCAUUCAAGACUGGUUAGCUAGAGUCUUGUAGAGGGGGUAGAAUUCCAUGUGUAGCGGUGAAAUGCGUAGAGAUGUGGAGGAAUACCGGUGGCGAAAGGCGGCCCCUGGACAAAGGACUGACGCUCAUGUGCGAAAGCGUGGGGAGCAAACAGGGAUUAGAUACC
rnacentral:rRNA from 1 species